GAUGAACGCUGGCGGCGUGCUUAACACAUGCAAGUCGAACGAUGAAGCCCAGCUUGCUGGGUGGAUUAGUGGCGAACGGGUGAGUAACACGUGAGUAACCUGCCCUUCACUCUGGGAUAAGCCUGGGAAACUGGGUCUAAUACCGGAUAGGAGCGUCCACCGCAUGGUGGGUGUUGGAAAGAUUUAUCGGUUUUGGAUGGACUCGCGGCCUAUCAGCUUGUUGGUGAGGUAAUGGCUCACCAAGGCGACGACGGGUAGCCGGCCUGAGAGGGUGACCGGCCACACUGGGACUGAGACACGGCCCAGACUCCUACGGGAGGCAGCAGUGGGGAAGAUUGCACAAUGGGCGCAAGCCUGAUGCAGCGACGCCGCGUGAGGGAUGACGGCCUUCGGGUUGUAAACCUCUUUCAGUAGGGAAGAAGCGAAAGUGACGGUACCUGCAGAAGAAGCACCGGCUAACUACGUG
rnacentral:rRNA from 1 species